AUUUAUUUAAUAAUGCAAAUAAAGUAUUUAAAGAAUUUCAGAAUUAGCAAACACCAUAGAAAAACUAAUUAACUGUUUUUAGAUGUAAAAACUUUAUUAGGUUAGCAUCACGUGAGAGCUUUGGAGCUCCUUCAAAUAUUAAUAUGCUUUACAGUUAACGUUUGAAUCCAGCUUUAUUAGGAGCCAAAAGAACUGUCUUUCCUGCUAAGGAGGUAGCUGUAUCACCUGGCUAGCCUUUUUCAGUGGCUUCCUAAGUGUUUACCAUUCAAGCUAAGAAAAACUGUACAGUAUCAUGACCAUCACAUAAGGUUAAGAAAACACUAAAGUGCAUACAAAUGCACAAAUAAUAAUAAGACUAGGAAGGUUUCAUUAAAGAACGGAAAUAAUUAAGUAUGUGUAUUAACAUCAGUGGGCCUCUCACGAAAGAACAUGCCAUGGUAACAUUUAAGCAGAACACCUGUCCUGGAGCAGAACAGGAUUCACAGGGCUGUUUGUGAUGUGUUUGGCUCCUUCCAGUAGUUAAACAUGGAAGGGAAAACCCAGGAUUCUGGUGACUCACAUCAGCCCAGUACAUCCACACUCCAGAACCAAGCCCAUAAAAACCUGACCACCAGAUGCUGGCACUGUGCACUCUGACUGGUUUAGCAAGCUUAUUUCAACCAACCAUAUGUAACAGUUUUCUGCAGUAUCCUACUGAACAGUUAUUUCCACUGUACAAAGUGGUUUAUCCAUAAUUUGUGACAGGUAAUUCAGAAGGUGUAAGAAUAUAGAGCAGAAUAUUAAAGACUUCAUCUCUCCAUGAAGAAAGAGAAAGCUGGCUUCACUGCAGAGGAUCCACUCUCCCUGCACAGCACUACUGCAACCCAAGAAAAUACACAUCACAGCAACUGACGACCACAUGAGGAGAAAGAAUAAAAUAAAGCAGUUUGUCUUUCAUUCCAUGAAAAGAAAAUUCACUAGGAAAGAUCAUGGAAAAAGCACUAUACCAUUACCUGCCUCCAAAUUCUUUGUCUUCUCUGCUACACUUAGCUUUCUAAGAAACUCGCUGAAAUCAGAUUUAUCCUUACGACAAAAUGGAACAAAUUAUUAACUCUGACAGCCAGCAGAAAUUGCUUAGCAUUCUACCUGUGCAUAAUUUCCCAGCAAGAUAGAUCACUACAGCUACAAGUGGUGUAACAUGAAACAACAGCAGAUCUGUGCAAAGCACAGUGACAUGCUAAAAAAAUAAUUCCUGCAAGUAAGAAUAUUAGGAAAGGUCAACAGGUGUUACCAGCUAAUACAAAAGGUAUGUCAUCAUAUAAAAAUCUGUCUCAGCUGAUGCAGUGUAGUCUUUCCUCUUCAGUAAUCUUGAGCUAUCCUUUAAAGGCAACAAGCACAAUAAAUGAAUUGAAACUGCAAGUUUUUGAGGUUAA
rnacentral:lncRNA from 1 species